rnacentral:sRNA from 1 species
UUGGCAUCAGGAACACAAGUAACACCUCAGAUAGCCAUGGCAGCUCAGAUGGCAGCCCUGCAAGCUAAAGCUUUGGCAGAGACAGGAAUAGCUGUUCCUAGCUACUAUAACCCAGCCGCUGUUAAUCCAAUGAAAUUUGCUGAACAAGAGAAAAAAAGGAAAAUGCUUUGGCAGGGCAAGAAAGAAGGGAGUGAAGAUGAAGCUGGAUGUAGCUCAGUUGAUGAAGAAAGUUACAAGACUCUGAAGCAGCAGGAAGAAGUAUUUCGAAAUUUAGAUGCUCAGUAUGAAAUGGCAAGAUCACAAACCCACACACAAAGAGGAAUGGGUUUGGGUUUCACAUCUUCAAUGCGAGGAAUGGAUGCAGUUUGAAAAUGAUCACACUUGUAAAGUUUGGGACUUAUAGACUUCUUGUUCUGAUGUCACGUCCUUGUUCACCAAACAGCUAGCACUCUAGCUUGCAUGGGUGUUGCAUUGACUUUAAUUUAUUGAAAAAUACAAAUUUUUGUAAAUAUCAGA